GUAAAAUCAUGACUUUCAUGCUUAUACAAUUAUAACUUUUUUCCACGUAAAAUUACAACAUUAUCAUCAUAAAACACAACUUCAUUCUCAAAAUAUUUGAACUUUUCUUUUGGAUCAAAUUAGGACUUUGAUCUUUCCAAAAUUACAACUUGUAUUCAUAAACUGACAGCUUGAUUCUAAGUCAUUCAAAUUACACCCUUUUUCCCAACACAGAGUUACAACUUUUCUUUUUCAUAAAAUCACAACCUAUUUAAAACUCAUUCACUGCCAUUGACGGCUGUCCAAUUCAAAUAUCCAUGUUAACACGGAGGACUGGAAGCCAAUGUGAAUGUGAACAUUACCUUUAGCUAUUAGCAUGACAUAAACGUGACAUAACCGAGCUAAUAACAAACAAGCAAUGAAAGAGCAAACUUGAGGUGGUGCAUUCGAAUCAUGUAGCAGGUGGGUGUUGGCAACUACAUGAACGGGCAUGAAAGUCUUGUCGAACGGGCGACUGUGAAUCAUCUUGCAGCUCCGAGAUAGGAGGAAAAAAGAAAUAAUACAUUUGCUCUCAAGGUUGCAUUCAGGUUGUCAAAUGGGAGAAUUUCAAGAGAAAAAACUGGCAGUGGUAAAUGCACACGAGGGAAGGUUAGUGCCUUUGCGUUCCAUCCCAAAUGUCCCCCAGGUGCUGUUUCCAGCCUGACUUCUGACUAAAUGAAUAAAACAUACUUGGCGUUUGCAUUUGAAUCUCCUGCAAUGAUUGUGCUCAAAGCAAACUAGAGCAGGGGACACGCAUACUGAUAAUAGGGCUGGGUUGAAGCUUUUUCCCCCCCCCCACUCUUCCGAUCAAAGUCAUCAAAGGCCCAAUUGUCAGAUGUCUUCGUGAAGAUUAUCCUAAGUGAUGAAUUAUCCUGUGGUGCGGGGUGUGUUCAGAAUUAUAUAUUUUUUCUGCUAGGAAAAUGGUUGGGGUCGACAACAAUGUUAAAAUUGGCAAUUAGACGCCGAGUAUCGUUCUAUUUUUACACUUUCAACCGGCCAUCGAAAAAGAAAAAACAAAAAAGUGACUGAUUUUCUUGCGGUUUGGAGAAAAACAUUUGGAGAUGCUUGCUUUUCAUUGGACAGCGCCGUUACGCAUCGGAGCACUCGCACGAAAGUCGGUUCAAUUCUGACGUUAACAGCACGGUUAGUUUCGUGACCGCAGUCGCAUCUCAAAUCAUCUUUCUCCAUUGAAAUUCAAGGUUCGGACUCUCUGACUUGAAACGGAGCGACUGGAUAAGCUGGCAGAUUUUCUUCUUUGUAUUUUUCCAGCAGUCUGGAUGCGCUGCGGCAACACGCUGCCGCUCACAGACGGAUCAGAGAUCAGCGCCCAAGUGACACCUGGCCAACGUGAGCAUGUGUUUUCCGGAGGCCUGCAAUGCGUCACGGAGCACGUGCGUUACGACGAAAUUUGCUCGGUCGCAUCGCAUCGCAUCGCGGCGGCUCGGCAAACGGGCUCACCAGCAGCCAAGAGGUUGCGGAGCAAUGGUUUCAGCAACCGGCGCGGCGUGGUCGGAAGAAGGCUGACAAGCGGGUCAGGUUUUGUCCGGGAAAUUCUGGAGAGGAAAAAAAAAUAAAAAAGUGAAACCGUUUGGACUUCCCUGCAGUUAAAUGAUUCCAUUGGACGCAAAACCGUGCGGAUCAAUGGAAACAGCAACUUGCCAUGAUCCAUCCCAGCCGUUUCAUCGGGGCACCUCUUGGAAAUGAACUCACAAAGACUCCUAAUGCCGCCACGCCAUGAUGCAUCAUUCGGCGCCAUCAACACUCCGACUCGCCUCGUUGGAAUCUUAAUGCGAUUCCCGCCGGUCGAGAGUGACUCGGCGCGCGUUCGGGCCUUCCCGACGGUGACAAGGCAAUUUACAGCGAGCCCUCGUGCGGUUAACAUCUUUAAGCUGCCAGCUGCCCUCGGUUGAAGUUGCACGCCGUUCCCCCGAAAGUCACAUUUCAUUGGGCCAUUUUUCCUCGAGGCCCGGAAGUGCUUUUUAAAGCAUAAUGAUCACAUUUGAAACAGUUCCCAGGUGCCUUCAUAACAAGCGCUCGCAACCUAUUUGUCAUUUUGCUGAAACGGCGGCAGUAAUUUCCCCAGGCAGGAGGAAAAUACGGACGGCGCGUCAGGUGGAUGCGUUCUUAUUUCGUUGGUACUCAUCAGAACAUUUGGAGAUUGCUUUGGAAGCUCGCUCGCCCUCGUGAUUGCGACGCCGAGUGCAGCUGUCCGUGGUGCUGAAUGUGUUUGCUUUUCACGAUUGUCUAC